UCGUAAAACUCUGUUUUCAGGGACGAAUGUGCAGUAUGUAAAUAAUGUAUUGUAAUGACGGUACCUGAGUAGAAAGCCACGGCUAACUACGUGC
rnacentral:rRNA from 1 species